CCUACGGGAGGCAGCAGUGGGGAAUAUUGGGCAAUGGAGGAAACUCUGACCCAGCAACGCCGCGUGAAUGAUGAAGGUCUUCGGAUUGUAAAGUUCUUUUCUAAGGGAAGAAGAAAGUGACGGUACCUUAGGAAUAAGCCUCGGCUAACUACGUGCCAGCAGCCGCGGUAAUACGUAGGCGGCAAGCGUUAUGCGGAAUGACUGGGCGUAAAGGGUGCGUAGGGGGUUUGACAAGUUGGUAGCGUAACUCCGAGGCUUAACCUCGGCACUAUUACCGAAACUGUUGGACUCGAGUGCAGGAGGGGCAAAUGGAAUUCCUAGUGUAGCGGUGGAAUGCGUAGAUAUUAGGAGGAACACCAGUGGCGAAGGCGAUUUGCUGGACUGUAACUGACACUGAGGCACGAAAGCGUGGGGAGCAAACAGGAUUAGAUACCCGGGUAGUC
rnacentral:rRNA from 1 species